rnacentral:rRNA from 1 species
AGAGUUUGAUCAUGGCUCAGGAUGAACGCUGGCAGCGUGCCUAACACAUGCAAGUCGAGCGAUCUUCUUCGGAAGAGAGCGGCGGACGGGUGAGUAACGCGUGGGUAACCUGCCUCAUACACAUGGGUAACAUACCGAAAGGUAUGCUAAUACAAGAUGAUAUAAGAGAUUCGCAUGGAUUUCUUAUCAAAGCUCCGGCGGUAUGAGAUGGACCCGCGUCUGAUUAGCUAGUUGGUAAGGUAACGGCUUACCAAGGCGACGAUCAGUAGCCGACCUGAGAGGGUGAUCGGCCACAUUGGAACUGAGACACGGUCCAAACUCCUACGGGAGGCAGCAGUGGGGAAUAUUGCACAAUGGGCGAAAGCCUGAUGCAGCAACGCCGCGUGAGCGAUGAAGGCCUUCGGGUCGUAAAGCUCUGUCCUCAAGGAAGAUAAUGACGGUACUUGAGGAGGAAGCCCCGGCUAACUACGUGCCAGCAGCCGCGGUAAUACGUAGGGGGCUAGCGCUAUCCGGAUUUACUGGGCGUAAAGGGUGCGUAGGUGGUUUCCUAAGUCAGGAGUGAAAGGCUUCGGCUCAACCGUAGUAAGCUCUUGAAACUGGGAAACUUGAGUGCAGGAGAGGAAAGUGGAAUUCCUAGUGUAGCGGUGAAAUGCGUAGAUAUUAGGAGGAACACCAGUAGCGAAGGCGGCUUUCUGGACUGUAACUGACACUGAGCACGAAAGCGUGGGGAGCAAACAGGAUUAGAUACCCUGUAGUCCACGCCGUAAACGAUGAGUACUAGGUGUCGGGGGUUACCCCCCUCGGUGCCGCAGCUAACGCAUUAAGUACUCCGCCUGGGGAGUACGCUCGCAAGAGUGAAACUCAAAGGAAUUGACGG